AACGAACGCUGGCGGCAGGCUUAACACAUGCAAGUCGAGCGCCCCGCAAGGGGAGCGGCAGACGGGUGAGUAACGCGUGGGAAUCUACCUUUUGCUACGGAAUAACUCAGGGAAACUUGUGCUAAUACCGUAUGUGCCCUUCGGGGGAAAGAUUUAUCGGCAAAGGAUGAGCCCGCGUUGGAUUAGCUAGUUGGUGAGGUAAAGGCUCACCAAGGCGACGAUCCAUAGCUGGUCUGAGAGGAUGAUCAGCCACACUGGGACUGAGACACGGCCCAGACUCCUACGGGAGGCAGCAGUGGGGAAUAUUGGACAAUGGGCGCAAGCCUGAUCCAGCCAUGCCGCGUGAGUGAUGAAGGCCCUAGGGUUGUAAAGCUCUUUCAACGGUGAAGAUAAU
rnacentral:rRNA from 1 species